rnacentral:rRNA from 1 species
CCUACGGGAGGCAGCAGUGGGGAAUUUUGGACAAUGGGCGCAAGCCUGAUCCAGCAAUGCCGCGUGAGUGAAGAAGGCCUUCGGGUUGUAAAGCUCUUUUGUCAGGGAAGAAACGGUCUACUCUAAUACAGUGGGCUAAUGACGGUACCUGAAGAAUAAGCACCGGCUAACUACGUGCCAGCAGCCGCGGUAAUACGUAGGGUGCAAGCGUUAAUCGGAAUUACUGGGCGUAAAGCGUGCGCAGGCGGUUAUAUAAGUCAGAUGUGAAAUCCCCGGGCUCAACCUGGGAACUGCAUUUGAGACUGUAUGGCUAGAGUGUGUCAGAGGGGGGUAGAAUUCCACGUGUAGCAGUGAAAUGCGUAGAUAUGUGGAGGAAUACCGAUGGCGAAGGCAGCCCCCUGGGAUAACACUGACGCUCAUGCACGAAAGCGUGGGGAGCAAACAGGAUUAGAUACCCUGGUAGUCCACGCCCUAAACGAUGUCUACUAGUUGUCGGGACUUAAUUGUCUUGGUAACGCAGCUAACGCGUGAAGUGACCGCCUGGGGGNGGUACGGUCGCGAGAAGUUAAACGUAACGAAAGAAAGUUAGACGGCGUGAGACGUAGACCGACGGACGACGACGAGGGGAGGAGG